CACACUGGAACUGAGACACGGCCCAGACUCCUACGGGRGGCAGCAGUGGGGAAUAUWGGACAAUGGGGGAAACCCUGAUCCAGCAAUGCCGCGUGUGUGAAGAAGGCCUGAGGGUUGUAAAGCACUUUUAGUAAGGAAGAUGAAUAUAAAAUUUAAUACAUUUUAUGUUUGACGUUACUUACAGAAUAAGCACCGGCAAACUCCGUGCCAGCAGCCGCGGUAAUACGGAGGGUGCGAGCGUUAAUCGGAAUUACUGGGCGUAAAGGGUGCGUAGGUGGUGUGGUAAGUUAUUUGUGAAAGACCUAAGCUUAACUUAGGAAGUGCAGAUAAAACUGCCAGACUUAGAGUAUAGGAUAGGGUAGUGGAAUUUCCGGUGUAGCAGUGAAAUGCGUAGAUAUCGGAAGGAACAUCAGUGGCGAAGGCGACUACCUGGCCUAAAACUGACACUGAGGCACGAAAGCAUGGGGAGCAAACAGGAUUAGAUACCCUGGUAGUCCAUGCUGUAAACGUUGUCAACUAGCUGUUGGUCAUAAUUUUAAUGAUAAGUAGCGAAGCUAACGCGUUAAGUUGACCGCCUGGGGAGUACGGUCGCAAGAUUAAAACUCAAAGGAAUUGACGGGGGCCCGCACAAGCGGUGGAGCAUGUGGUUUAAUUCGAUGCAACGCGAGGAACCUUACCUACCCUUGACAUACAGCGAAUUUAACAGAGAUGUUAAAGUGCCGGGAGGAACGCUGAUACAGGUGCUGCAUGGCUGUCGUCAGCUCGUGUCG
rnacentral:rRNA from 1 species